rnacentral:rRNA from 1 species
AGAGUUUGAUCCUGGCUCAGAACGAACGCUGGCGGCAGGCUUAACACAUGCAGGUCGAACGCUCCGCAAGGAGAGUGGCAGACGGGUGAGUAACGCGUGGGAACAUACCCCUCGGUUCGGAAUAACUCAGGGAAACUUGAGCUAAUACCGAAUACGGUCGAGAGGCGAAAAGAUUUAUCGCCGAGGGAUUGGCCCGCGUCCGAUUAGCUAGUUGGUGAGGUAAUGGCUCACCAAGGCGACGAUCGGUAGCUGGUCUGAGAGGAUGAUCAGCCACAUUGGGACUGAGACACGGCCCAAACUCCUACGGGAGGCAGCAGUGGGGAAUAUUGGACAAUGGGCGAAAGCCUGAUCCAGCCAUGCCGCGUGAGUGAUGACGGCCUUAGGGUUGUAAAGCUCUUUCAUCAGGGACGAUAAUGACGGUACCUGAAGAAGAAGCC